rnacentral:rRNA from 1 species
GACGAACGCGGGCGGCGUGCUUAACACAUGCAAGUCGAACGCUGAAGCUCAGCUUUUGUUGGGUGGAUGAGUGGCGAACGGGUGAGUAACACGUGAGUAACCUGCCUCCUUCUUUGGGAUAACGCCCGGAAACGGGUGCUAAUACUGGAUAUUCACUGGUCUUCGCAUGGGGGUUGGUGGAAAGGGUUUUUCUGGUGGGGGAUGGGCUCGCGGCCUAUCAGCUUGUUGGUGGGGUGAUGGCCUACCAAGGCUUUGACGGGUAGCCGGCCUGAGAGGGUGACCGGUCACAUUGGGACUGUGAUACGGCCCAGACUCCUACGGGAGGCAGCAGUGGGGAAUAAUGCACAAUGGGCGCAAGCCUGAUGCAGCGACGCCGCGUGAGGGAUGGAGGCCUUCGGGUUGUGAACCUCUUUCGCUCAUGGUCAAGCCGCAACAAUGGUUGUGGUGAGGGUAGUGGGUAAAGAAGCGCCGGCUAACUACGUG